GUGGCACUUCCGGUUCCGGCUGGAGGCUGCGGCCGUGCUCUCUGUCCCCGGGGAGCUGCCCCGAGGGCACCUGACAGUCCCGUGUCCGGGCCCGGAGGACCGUGCACGGACUCGCCUGCCACGUCACGGACUCCCGCCGCCCGCCGGAAGUAGCCUGUGUCACCACUGCGAAAAUACCCGGCGUGGAGAACGUCACCUUGCUGACAGUCCCAGGGGUGGUGCGGAUUUUUAGAAUCGAUUGGGUGGGACAGGAGAGACCCGGCUCCUCUUCCGGGAUUCUCUGAGGAUUACCUGAGACGACCGAUGUCCUCGGCUACCGCUGGUGGCCCAGCCGAUGCUAUGCCAGCUGUAGAGUGCAAGAGAAUUUUAAAAAGAGGUGUUCAAUU
rnacentral:lncRNA from 1 species